GCGGUGGAGCGGUGCCUACGAGGUCGGUUCCUGCGGAGCUGCGCGCAGCCACAGCCACAGCUGGGCCGCCAACAGAAGGGUCGCUGGGGCGCGGUGCUCCCCUGAAGAGCUGGAGGCUGCGGACAGAAACGGGACAAAUGAGUAUUUCUCCGAAUCGCAGAGGGACACGGCGCAAUGCAGGUGAACUUCAUCGUAAUCCCCGAUGAACUUGAAGACGGUGACGUGGAAGCGACACGUCAAGGACACCCCGUUCUCCUCUAUGCCGAUGGUGUUGUCCUUCAUGUUUUGGCACCUGAAUGAGGCCCAUGUUGCAGGUGUCCAAGGACCCCUCUGCCAUAUCCCUCCAUUGCCCUCCGUCACCCCAAAGCCCAUUGUAUCGACAACUCCGGGAAGGCUGCAGCUCUCCAGAUAAGUGAAAAAACUCCUCCACUAACACCGUGAGCUUCACUGUUCUCCUCCCUGUCCAGAUCUCCAUCAGCCAUCUCGCAGAGUGAAAGGUCCCCUUGACUGAUGCUACCGCUCCUUCAAGUGCCCUUCCCAAAGGACAUGACCCUAAACAUGCUGAGUUGCCCGGCCCGCAGUCACUCACCCUC